AUCUCUGUAGAGUCUGCAUAUCAAUAAGCGGAGGAAAAGAAACUAACAAGGAUUCCCUUAGUAACGGCGAGUGAAGCGGGAAGAGCUCAAAUUUGAAAUCUUCAAGGUUCUACCUUGACGAAUUGUAGUCUAAAGAAGUGUUUUCUGUUAGAUGAGUAGCAAAAGAUCCUUGGAAUGGGACAUCAUAGAGGGUGAGAAUCCCGUAUUUGGUUAUUCAUUCUAGCUUUGUGAUACACUUUCAAAGAGUCGGAUUGUUUGGGAAUGCAGUCCAAAAUGGGUGGUAAAUUUCAUCUAAAGCUAAAUAUUGGCGAGAGACCGAUAGCGAACAAGUACCGUGAGGGAAAGAUGAAAAGAACUUUGAAAAGAGAGUUAAACAGUACGUGAAAUUGUCAAAAGGGAAGCGUUUGACACCAGUGUUGUUUUUCCGAAAAUCAAUUACGAAUGGCUUGAUUUUGUGUUGUAUUGACCUUAUCAGCUUUCUUCACUUUUUUCGAGUCUUUCUUAAUGCACUUUUCGGUUAACAAGUCAACAUCAAUUUCUUUUGUUGUAAAAGAGUAUUCGGAAGGUGGCUUUCUUUUCGGAGAAAGUGUUUAUAGCCCUAUACUUCUACAAUCGGAGAGAUUGAGGUCUGCAGCGUAGAUCCUUCGGGGUUAGAUACACUUGUGCUAAGUUGUAGCUUUUCAUAGACAACUUGUUGACUAUGUUUAGUCAUGCGGCUUACUCGCUUGUGCUAUUUUACCUACGCUUAGGAUGUUGAACUACUGAGACAUAGA
rnacentral:rRNA from 1 species